UACGUAGGGGGCAAGCGUUGUCCGGAUUCAUUGGGCGUAAAGAGCGUGUAGGCGGCCAGGUAGGUCGGUUGUGAAAACUGGAGGCUCAACCUUCAGAGGUCGACCGAAACCAUCUGGCUAGAGUCCGGAAGAGGAGAGUGGAAUUCCUGGUGUAGCGGUGAAAUGCGCAGAUAUCAGGAAGAACACCCGUGGCGAAAGCGGCUCUCUGGAACGGUACUGACGCUGAGACGCGAAAGCGUGGGGAGCGAACAGG
rnacentral:rRNA from 1 species